rfam:Homo sapiens chromosome 7, GRCh38 reference primary assembly.
GCCAGGCACAGUGGUGAGUGCCUGUAAUCCCAGCUACUUGGGAGGCUGAGGCAGGGGAAUCACUUGAAUCCAGGAGGCAGAAGUGGAGGUUGCAGUGAGCCGAGAUCACACUACUGCAUUCCAGCCUGGGUGACAUAGUAAGACGCUGUCUCAA